rnacentral:rRNA from 1 species
UUUAAAGAGAGUUUGAUCCUGGCUCAGGACGAACGCUGGCGGCGUGCCUAAUACAUGCAAGUCGAACGAACGGAGGAAGAGCUUGCUCUUCCAAAGUUAGUGGCGGACGGGUGAGUAACACGUGGGCAACCUGCCUGUAAGUUGGGGAUAACUCCGGGAAACCGGGGCUAAUACCGAAUGAUAAAGUGUGGCGCAUGCCACGCUUUUGAAAGAUGGUUUCGGCUAUCGCUUACAGAUGGGCCCGCGGUGCAUUAGCUAGUUGGUAGGGUAAUGGCCUACCA